CUGUGUUGAGCCAGGUGUUGUUGAAUCAAACUGUAUCGUUGUCGGUCACUAACAUUCACCGUACAGGGGGGUUAGAGGUCCCCUAGUGUUACUGUCCACAGAGGGGAUUGUGUUGUAUGUGUUGAGCCAGGUGUUGUUGAAUCAGUGGACACCUCCAUGGUUGGACUAUGGCUGGUCUCCUUCACCAGAACUGACAUGCAGCAGAGGUUGUCUGUCCACAACAUCCUGAAGAGAUACUCAGUAAUCAUAGACGUUGUCCAGCCACACAAACACAUCCAUUUUAGUGUUCAUCCGUGUAUAAAUGUCAAUACAGUCAUUUCUUUUAGAGUUUAAAAAACAAAAACACCCCGGUUUAUCAGGUGCAGAGAGGUACAGCAGCUUUUGAGUUCUUUGUGUGAAUGACUAGAAUAGUAAUAGAAAUGUAGUUUAGUUACACGACCCCCCCCAUAUGUAACCAUUAUAUCAUUAACUGUCAGCAUUGUAGUGUGUAAUGUGUUACGUAUGUAUGCAAUACACUUGUGUGGGGGUCAGAAGGAUGCAAAGAGAAUGUAUUGAUGUAUAGUAAACUAUCCAUAUGUUGUACUUACAAUCCAUGCUGCGAUUAAAUCCUUUUAAUAAAAAUAAUAUUCAA